ensembl:lncRNA
UCUAUCUGGAGAUCACUCCUUUUGGAGCCCUUCUACAAGCCUAGGACACAGCUUUCAGCUGGCUCUGGUUAGAUAUCUUGGUUAAAACUAUUUCUGCUCAAGCCUGGAUUUCUGCUCAAGCCUGGAAAGCUUUAUUGUUAUAGGCAUAUGGCCAGAUAACUACAGUUGUGUUGCUUCUUAAGCCAACUUUGAAUAUAAUUCAAAGAAAUUGAAUUAGUGGACAGCCAGGAGAGCAACACACCAGCAGUUCCCUUGGGAAUCAUGGGAAUUCAGCUGCUGUGAAACAUCCAAGCUGAUGUCACCUGAACACAUUGCUUCUUCUCCUGUUCCUCCUUGCCCAGUGAUGUCAUUGUGACUGUGUUGCCAGGCCUUAUGUUUCCAAGAAGAGAAUUUUAUCUUGAUUAGGCUAAAGGCUUUUUGGGGUAUGGACAGUAUUUAUUUGUGUAAGGAGAAAGGCUCUGUAUUUCUUAAUAAGUUGAAUGAAUUAGUAUUUAUUGUUUGCUUUCUUUAUUCUAAAGCAUUUUUCUAUCCUUCAGUUAUUUUUGUGAGUUUUUUAGAGCUUAUCUAAAUUUAAAGUAAUAACAUUAGAUUAGCAUACAAUAUUGCUGCAUGUGUCACAGUUUUUUCAUGCAAUGAUUGUCUAAACAUAUCCCCUUUAUAUAUUUUUUUUUAAAUGCACUUUUUUUGCCACGGUUUGACGUACACUGAUUUGUCUAAAUAUGAAUUAGAAAAUUACUGCUUUUCAGGGCACAGGCACUUACACUUUCAUAUGUAUUUUUGUAGAUUGUUUUGUGACUGCCUUGCUAAUUGCUUAUUUUUCAAAAUUCAUUUUCAUCCUUCUUUAUUCCUCUUCUGUUUCAAAUGUACUUUCCAACAAAUUAUUGUUGAAAAUUACAAAUAGCAUUGCCUAGGUCUAGUGGUUUAAUUAUGGUCUAAUCCCACAACCCUGUGCUAAAGAUGUAGCUCUCAGUAAUGACGUCUGAUUUGACAUCUGUCAGUUCUGAAUUCAUUCCAUGCUCAGUGUUGGUUUGUUUUCCAAGUAUUAAGCUGUAACUCCAUGAAGAACUCUUGUGUAGUAGUUGGAUAUAGUUGGAUUUAUCAUAAAGAUCUGUAAUUUUAUUUAAAAAACAAAAAACACCAAAACUUUAGAUCAGAUAUAGUAACCUGAUCUAAUUAAGGAUUACCUAUAGAAAGCCUUCUCCUGGCCCUGUAGGACUGUAUAAUACAUAUUCCAUUUAUGAAAUAGAACCUAGAGGAGCAUGGUUGUAGCUUAUCUGCCUUUCAUUUUACUACUUGUAUUGGUUUAUAAGAAAACUCAGCCUAAAUUUAAAGAAAGGACACACAAUUCAGUUAUUUAGGGAAUUUAAUUUGAUGUUCUAACUGGCGUUCUGCUUUUAUCCUUAGUAUACAGCGAAACACUGAUUUUUUUCGAAGACAUAAGGUUCACAGAAUUUGAACUACUAAAAAUUUCCAUUAAAAUAUAUUCAAAAAACAAUUGAAGUCCACAUAAAUACUUUUGUUAGAAAUACUUUGGCACUCAUCCAUCUGGUGAAGAAGUUAUUUGACAGAAAAAACAGCUUCUAUGUGGAGGGCUUGAAGAGAUACUUCCACAAUCAAUAUUCAUUUACAAGCAUCAUCAUGUGCAAGAAUUUAGCAAGUGGUUUCAGCAAAUGUGUAAACAAAAGAUCAUGAUUUACUUCUGUAUAUUGUGAAAAUAGAAAAAGCUGUUCAAUUUGUUCCAUAAAUUAUUCAGUGUAAGCUAGUCAUUCACUACCAAAAUGCUGUCUUCAUAUUUUUUUUUAUAUUUGAUGUUUGCAGAAGUAAAAUUAUUUUGUAAUCUCUGUAAUUCUUUCAGCUGUAUUAGGAAAAAAAGCUUUAAAGAGGAGUACUUAUUUUCACAGGAAAAGGAAGCCUCUAUUCUUCCAUCACCAGAAAUAGAGAAAAAUCACUCUAAAUAUACAAUUUUGAGGAAAAUUAUGGAGUGAAGAACUUAUGUCCAUCAAGGCAUGUUUAUUUAGCACAGUGCAUCUCUUCACAUGACUUUUAAAUAAGGACUUAGAAAGGUCUACAGUUCUCUGAAAGUCUAGGAACCAAGAAACCAUUUGAUAGCAUACAGAAAAUACUGAAAUGAGCGUGUUAUCUCAUCUGGGUAGUUCAGUUUAUUGGUUGUCAUUUCAUAACAUUGAAAACACUGUCAGUUGUAGAGAAGAGAUUUUGGAUUGUUUAGCAUAUCUUCCUUGCCUUGUGAAUUUUCCCAAUGUGGCUUUGAACAAUAUUAAAAGAAAAGUAGCAGGGACAAUUGGGAAUUAAAGGACAACCAUUGUCAUCAAAGCAAGAUGAAUGUAUAGGGUAGAUUUCUGGUAAGGGAAUUUAACUGCCAUCAGAACUGAACUUCCAGGAAGAAAUAAACUGGAGCAGUUUACU